GGGGCAUAGCUUAGUUGGUAGAGCGCUGCCCUUGCACGGCAGAGGCCAGCGGUUCGAGUCCGCUUGCCUCC
rnacentral:tRNA from 1 species